GACGAACGCUGGCGGCGUGCCUAACACAUGCAAGUCGAACGGAAAGGCCCUGCUUUUGUGGGGUUCUCGAGUGGCGCACGGGUGAGUAACACGUGAGUAACCUGCCCUUGACUUUGGGAUAACUUCAGGAAACUGGGGCUAAUACCGGAUAGGAGCUCCUGCUGCAUGGUGGUGGUUGGAAAGUUUCGGCGGUUGGGGAUGGACUCGCGGCUUAUCCGCUUGUUGGUGGGGUAGUGGCUUACCAAGGCUUAGACGGGUAGCCGGCCUGAGAGGGUGACCGGCGACAAGGGGACUGAGAUACGGCGCAGACGCCUACGGGAGGCAGCGGGGGAAAAUAUGACACAAUGGGCGGAAGCGUGAUACAGCAACGCCGGGAGCGGGAUGACGGCCUUCGGGGGGUAAACCGCUUUCGCCUGAGACGUAGCGGUAGUGACGGUAAUGGGUAAAGAAGCACCGGCUAACUACGUG
rnacentral:rRNA from 1 species